rnacentral:rRNA from 1 species
UACGAAGGGGGCUAGCGUUGUUCGGAAUUACUGGGCGUAAAGGGCGCGUAGGCGGCGCGGGUAGUCAUCGGUGAAAGUUCAGGGCUCAACUCUGAAUCGGCCGGUGAUACUCCCGUGCUCGAGCACUGUAGAGGCAGGUGGAAUUCCGGGUGUAGCGGUGGAAUGCGUAGAGAUCCGGAAGAACACCGGUGGCGAAGGCGGCCUGCUGGGCAGUAGCUGACGCUGAUGCGCGACAGCGUGGGGAGCAAACAGG